GGGGGGGGGGCAGCCUGAUCAGCAAUGCCGCGUGUGUGAAGAAGGCCUUCGGGUUGUAAAGCACUUUUGUCCGGAAAGAAAUCGCACUUACUAAUAUUAGGUGUGGAUGACGGUACCGGAAGAAUAAGGACCGGCUAACUACGUGCCAGCAGCCGCGGUAAUACGUAGGGUCCAAGCGUUAAUCGGAAUUACUGGGCGUAAAGCGUGCGCAGGCGGUUGUGCAAGACCGAUGUGAAAUCCCCGGGCUUAACCUGGGAAUUGCAUUGGUGACUGCACGGCUAGAGUGUGUCAGAGGGGGGUAGAAUUCCACGUGUAGCAGUGAAAUGCGUAGAGAUGUGGAGGAAUACCGAUGGCGAAGGCAGCCCCCUGGGAUAACACUGACGCUCAUGCACGAAAGCGUGGGGAGCAAACAGGAUUAGAUACCCUGGUAGUCCACGCCCUAAACGAUGUCAACUAGUUGUUGGGGAUUCAUUUCCUUAGUAACGUAGCUAACGCGUGAAGUUGACCGCCUGGGGAGUACGGUCGCAAGAUUAAAACUCAAAGAAAUUUGACGG
rnacentral:rRNA from 1 species